UACGUAGGGCGCAAGCGUUGUCCGGAAUUAUUGGGCGUAAAGAGCUCGUAGGCGGUCUGUCGCGUCUGUUGUGAAAACUCGAGGCUCAACCUCGGGCUUGCAGUGGAUACGGGCAGACUAGAGUGCGGUAGGGGAGAGCUGGAAUUCCUGGUGUAGCGGUGGAAUGACGCAGAUAUCAGGAGGAACACCGAUGGCGAAGGCAGGUCUCUGGGCCGCAACUGACGCUGAGGAGCGAAAGCAUGGGGAGCGAACAGG
rnacentral:rRNA from 1 species